UAGGUCUGCACGGUCUACACAUGCAAGUCGAGCGGAUGAAGGGAGCUUGCUCUCUGAUUCAGCGGCGGACGGGUGAGUAAUGCCUAGGAAUCUGCCUGGUAGUGGGGGACAACGUUCCGAAAGGAGCGCUAAUACCGCAUACGUCCUACGGGAGAAAGUGGGGGAUCUUCGGACCUCACGCUAUCAGAUGAGCCUAGGUCGGAUUAGCUAGUAGGUGGGGUAAUGGCUCACCUAGGCGACGAUCCGUAACUGGUCUGAGAGGAUGAUCAGUCACACUGGAACUGAGACACGGUCCAGACUCCUACGGGAGGCAGCAGUGGGGAAUAUUGGACAAUGGGCGAAAGCCUGAUCCAGCCAUGCCGCGUGUGUGAAGAAGGUCUUCGGAUUGUAAAGCACUUUAAGUUGGGAGGAAGGGCAGUAAGGUAAUACCUGGCUGUUUUGACGUCUCAU
rnacentral:rRNA from 1 species